AUUAAGCUGAAGAGUCCCAUAUUGGACGAAACGCGCAUCCUGGAU
rfam:Schistosoma mattheei strain Denwood, Zambia genome assembly, scaffold: SMTD_scaffold0002540